rnacentral:lncRNA from 1 species
CUCAUUUAUAUCUCCUCAACAUUCCUAUGUUGAAGUCCUAAGCCCUGAGUGCCCCAGAAUGUGACCAUAUUUGGAGAAAGGGUCUUUAAAGAUGUGGUUAAGUUAAAAUGAGGCCAUUAAGCUGGCCCUAAUCCAAUAUGAUGGAUGUCCUUAUUGAAAGAAGAGAUCAGGGCACCGCAGGAAGGCCAUGUGGAGACACAGAGAGAGAUGGCAAUCUGUAAGCCAGGAAGAGAGACCGCAGGAGAAACGAACUCUGCUGACACCUCGAUCUCAGACUUUUAGCCUCCAGAACUAUGAGAAAAUAAGUUUCUGUUUUUGAAGUUCCCCUGUGGUAUUUUGUCAUAGCAGCCCUAGGAGAUUAAUACACUCCCCUCCCUGCCACACACACCUCCACAUGCACACACACACCUCCAUAUACACACACCUUCACAUGCGCACACACACCUCCACAUGCACACACCUCCACUUGCAUACACACACCUUCACAUGCACACCUCCACCUGCACACGCACACCUCCAUAUGCACACACCUCCACUUGCAUACACACACCUUCACAUGCACAUGCAUGCCUC